UACGUAGGGGGCGAGCGUUGUCCGGAUUUACUGGGCGUAAAGCGCGCGUAGGCGGCUUUGCAAGUCGGGUGUGAAAUCCCCAGGCUUAACCUGGGAACUGCAUUCGAGACUGCAUUGCUAGAGUAUGGGAGAGGGAAGUGGAAUUUCCGGUGUAGCGGUGAAAUGCGUAGAUAUCGGAAGGAACAUCAGUGGCGAAAGCGACUUCCUGGACCAAUACUGACGCUCAUGUGCGAAAGCGUGGGGAGCAAACAGG
rnacentral:rRNA from 1 species